GAUGAACGCUGGCGGCGUGCCUAACACAUGCAAGUCGAACGGAGUCCAGCCUUUAAGACCUUCGGGUCAAAGAGGGGAAGACUGAGUGGCGGACGGGUGAGUAACACGUGGGCAACCUGGCUCAUAGAGGGGGAUAACAGAGAGAAAUUUCUGCUAAUACCGCAUAAGCACACACUGCUGCAUGGCAGAGGGUGAAAAGAGAAUCGCUAUGAGAUGGACCCGCGUCUGAUUAGCCAGUUGGCAGGGUAAGAGCCUACCAAAGCGACGAUCAGUAGCCGAUCUGAGAGGAUGAACGGCCACAUUGGGACUGAGACACGGCCCAAACUCCUACGGGAGGCAGCAGUGGGGGAUAUUGCACAAUGGGGGGAACCCUGAUGCAGCGACGCCGCGUGAGUGAAGAAGUAUUUCGGUAUGUAAAGCUCUAUCAGCAGGGAAGAUAAUGACAGUACCUGAAUAAGAAGCCCCGGCUAACUACGUG
rnacentral:rRNA from 1 species